rnacentral:lncRNA from 1 species
UCUACAUACAAUUCCCAGCCAUCGUUAUUUACUUAACUAUCCAUUCAUUCAUUCAACCUAAAGUUAAAUCACCAACAGUUAUGAAAUUAGAAAGUACUGGAGCCAUGAUAGUAGGAAUUUUGUUAUCAAAUAGAGAUUUUUGGAAAAUGCAUAAAGCUCAAGCCCAAGUAAGGAAGGCAGAAUUACAGAAUCCACCUAUUAACAGGGAAGUGUCACACUCGCAUCAGAAGAAAGAAGGUCACAAGAAAUUGGAAAUAACACUGUGGCCACUUCUCUACAAUACAACCUGCCACAGUGACUAUCAGGCAGGCCAUAGAGCCAGUUCAUUUAGAGCCCAGGGCAUGAACUUGCACAUUACUUUAAUGACUGCAGUGAGUAAGGCCACUUGAACAUGAUCUAUGGGCUGCUGCGGGCAUGUUUACCUGUGUCGUGGAUGCACGCUGGAGAGGACUUCCAGCCACACCACUGAUCUUGAAAACAGGAACAAACAACGAAAACAAUGCUGUGUGGCAUCACAGCACCUCUUCUUACUACAUUUUCUCUGAAGACAUUAGCUAACAAUGAGGUGUGUAAGUUCCUGGAAUUCUUUUUAUUUAGAGUAUCUUUAAUGAUUCCUUUAGAUUUCAAAGUUAAAUUACAGAUCAAAUGAUGUGAAGUUGUCUGCCUCUCUUUGUCUAGUUAAGUAAAAGCUAGACAGGCCGGUGCAUCAUUUAACUUGGCCUCAGCAAACCUUGGUCAUAGAGAAAUGUUCCUCUUGGGAAAACUACUAGAGCAUAUAUUGAAGCCCAUUAUCAUACCUAAAUUAUGAGAGAAUGUAACUGAGUGAAAAGAGUACUGGAUUCAGAAUAAAACAAACUAAUUUUCUCA